GAUGAACGCUGGCGGCGUGCCUAAUACAUGCAAGUCGAGCGAACAGACGAGGAGCUUGCUCCUCUGACGUUAGCGGCGGACGGGUGAGUAACACGUGGAUAACCUACCUAUAAGACUGGGAUAACUUCGGGAAGCCGGAGCUAAUACCGGAUAAUAUAUUGAACCGCAUGGUUCAAUAGUGAAAGACGGUUUUGCUGUCACUUAUAGAUGGAUCCGCGCCGCAUUAGCUAGUUGGUAAGGUAACGGCUUACCAAGGCAACGAUGCGUAGCCGACCUGAGAGGGUCGCGGCCCACACUGGACGUGAGCCAGGUCCCGACCUCCUCGGGGAGGAGCCAGAAGGGACUCUUCCAGAAGGGGCGAAGCCCGAACGGCGCACCGCCGCGUGAGGCAUAAGGUUCUCCGGAUCUUAAAACUUUUUUAUGGGGAAAAAACAAAUGUGAAAGAAACUAUGCACGUCUUCGCGUCCCCUAAUCAAAAACCCACGCCAAACUCGGCC
rnacentral:rRNA from 1 species